rnacentral:rRNA from 1 species
GACGAACGCUGGCGGCGUGCUUAACACAUGCCAGUCGAACGGAAAGGCCCUGCUUUUGUGGGGUGCUCGAGUGGCGAACGGGUGAGUAACACGUGAGUAACCUGCCCUUGACUUUGGGAUAACUUCAGGAAACUGGGGCUAAUACCGGAUAGGAGCUCCUGCUGCAUGGUGGGGGUUGGAAAGUUUCGGCGGUUGGGGAUGGACUCGCGGCUUAUCAGCUUGUUGGUGGGGUAGUGGCUUACCAAGGCUUCGGCGGGUAGCCGGCCUGAGAGGGUGACCGGCGACAUUGGGACUGAGAUAGGGCGCAGACUCCUACGGGAGGCAGCAGUGGGGAAUAUUGCACAAUGGGCGGAAGCCUGAUGCAGCAACGCCGCGUGCGGGAUGACGGCCUUCGGGUUGUAAACCGCUUUCGCCUGUGACGAAGCGGGAGUGACGGUAAUGGGUAAAGAAGCACCGGCUAACUACGUG